rnacentral:rRNA from 1 species
GACGAACCGAGCGACCGUUGUUCGGAAUCACUGGGCGUAAAGCGCACGUAGGCGGCUUUCUAAGUCAGGGGUGAAAUCCUGGAGCUCAACUCCAGAACUGCCUUUGAUACUGGAGAGCUUGAGUCCGGGAGAGGUGAGUGGAACUCCGAGUGUAGAGGUGAAAUUCGUAGAUAUUCGGAAGAACACCAGUGGCGAAGGCGGCUCACUGGCCCGGUACUGACGCUGAGGUGCGAAAGCGUGGGGAGCAAACAGG